AAAAAUAUAUUAAAUAAAUACAGCCAAUAUAAAAUAAGGUCGUUUAUGGAAUUAAUUGCUUGUACUGCAAUGUUUCGUAUGUAAGACAAACUUACUGUUUGUUAAAAAUUAGACGAUCGAAAUUGCAUAAGAAGAAACACAACACAAACUUCGAUCAUUACUGAGCAUCGAUUGACAUUUUCACACGACUUUUGAUUGGGAUAAUGUAGAGAUAUUGGACGAGGGCAUGCAUCUCGACAAACAGCAUAAUUAUUAUAUUAAAAAGCAGCACAAUAGUUUACAUCUUACACAACCCUAGUAACAAUUUUCUGUAAGAUUGCUGUAAAUCUGAAGAAGAAAUUUAUAACGUCCUGCUACCAGAAUAUGUCAAGAAUCUGCAAGAAUGAAUAGCAUUCUUUCGCCAGAAUCUGCAUAUUACUUCUGUUGAAAGAAUCUUAUAUCAGUCUGCUGAUAGACUGCUAACAGACUGUUUACAAACUGCAAUUACGGAAAGAAUCUGCCUCAAAAUAGCUCUGUACCAGAACGUUGCUGAAUUCUGCUGCAAUUAAUUGCAUUGCAGAUUUUCCUCUGUAGAAAAUAGCAAAAAAUGCUACUAGGGAAGAUACUGAUCUCCUGGAUCCAAUAUACUUCAGUCUCAUUGAUUGAGUGGAGAUUCCUCGGGUUCUACACAAGAUUGAUGACAUAACGGCUUAACUUUACGAUUUCUGUCGUUUGACUUGACUUACAUCUUCUUUCAAGAAUUAUAUGUUGAUGAUUACAAAAAAUGAGAGGUUGCAGCCAUUGUUUUGCAACAUGACUAACAAUCAGAAAACUGGUCUUCUAAACACUACUGCGCUUUAUACACUGAAGAGCGUCCAAAAGUAGGAUCGAAACGCCUAUAAAAUUUCUUGUCAUUAAACGUAUUGUUCAUAAUACGCAUUUAGUUCUAUACAUAUAUAAUACUUAUUGUACAACCGCGACAGCUCGUAGUAUAAUUUUAUGUUGAAUUUGAAAAAAGGGAUUUUAUUUAAAAAAGGUUUUAAGGUGAUCCUCGCCUAACCUUGGUGACGUAACUGAAGGUUAAACUGAUAAAGGGAAUAAAUAGAGAAAGCCUUAUAAUUUUUAUCUCAAACAUUUUUUUCUGUUUACAAAUAUUUCUCGAGAUAUUUCGCCGGGCCAAAACUUUUUACACGUCCUGUACACAUGUUGAGUAUCUCCAAAUCCAGGUUCAAGAUUUUAUAACUCAAAAUACGCAAAAAAAUAAAUGUAAAAGAAUUA